rnacentral:rRNA from 1 species
AGGACGAACGCUGGCGGCGUGCUUAACACAUGCAAGUCGAGCGAAGUCCGACCGGUGGCAACACCGGGGAAGGCUUAGCGGCGAACGGGUGAGUAACACGUGAGCAACCUGUCCCGAAGACUGGGAUAACACCGGGAAACCGGUGCUAAUACCGGAUACCCCCAUCGGACCGCAUGAUCUGAUGAGGAAAUGAAUUUCGCUUCGGGAGGGGCUCGCGGGCUAUCAGCUUGUUGGUGGGGUAACGGCCUACCAAGGCGACGACGGCUAGCUGGUCUGAGAGGACGACCAGCCACACUGGGACUGAGACACGGCCCAGACUCCUACGGGAGGCAGCAGUGGGGGAAUCUUGCGCAAUGGGCGAAAGCCUGACGCAGCAACGCCGCGUGGGGAUGAAUGCCUUCGGGUUGUAAACCCCUUUCAGCAGGGACGAAUCUGACGGUACCUGCAGAAGAACGCCCCGGCCAACUACGUGCCAGCAGCCGC